UCUUCUACAGUACUGUAAGAUUUUCCACCCAUGGUCAGUGCGAGGAGGAUGAGAGAAGGACAGACUUUUUAAGGGGAAAAAAGCGUAUGAAUACCCUUAUUUAUGCCCUGCCAGUUGUCCUUUGGACUCGCUGGCAUGCCGCCGGUGUGGGCACAACGUCCUGGACACCCCAGGACGCCCCGAGGCUCGGCACGCCCGCACCCCGCGGCCAGCACCUGCCCCCCGGGGUGGCGACCUGGAGGGUGGCGGAAGGGUUGCUGAAGCAAUUCUGAUAAGCGUCAUCAUCGUCAUCGCUGCUCACUCUGCAGGCGUCCCCAGCGUCGGGCAAGGAGGAGGAAGGCGUGAGUGCAAGGAGACGUACAGUGCCAAUAUUGAAGCAGUCUUUGGUGGCGGCCUGUAAAGCACCUCCUCUUGUUUGUCCCAAGGAGGAGGUGCCGUGAGAUGCAGGAGCGUCGCCCUUUCCAUGCUUUCCAGAGGAGCAACACCCUUACCUGUCUGGAGAUCAAAGGUGGCAAGUUUCUUCUAAUUACGGAGCUCCUCACCUGCUCACCUGUUUGAAGGCCAUUUUCCACUCGAGAGACGCAGACCCAAGACGCGCCACGCCUCGUCUAGUGCUCGCUGCCUUCUGCACCUCGCAUCCUCGCCUCCACCCACGUCCUACCCCCAAAUUCUUCACGCCCAAGCCUCGUCUCGUAUGAAUUUUUUGGAAAGCUACAGCAUCGCGUCAUCUCAGGUCCCAGGAGCCUCGCAUAGGACGGUGCGCCGAGCCGUGACUGCGCCCCUCAGCCCCUCAGCCCCGCAGCCCUCCAGCCCCGCAGCCCCACCGCCAGCCGAACCGACUCUGCGCGGGAGCCUCUCUCAAAGCGACCAUUUUUAUCUUUCCCUGCGAGAGAGCCAGAUCCUGGGAAAUGAAACUCUAAUCAUUGUAUAAUUGAGGCUGUGUAAUUAGGUUUAGGCUGGCCGUGAUAAUGUAUGUCCGAGCCGCUGCCGACCGCCCGCCCGCCCGCCCUCCCCUCCCGUCCUCCCUCCGCCUCGCCUUGUGUUUCCUGGAGAGCAACGAUUUAUUUUUUCCUUCUAGUCUGUGUAUGCAUUUUUGUUUCAGAAUUUUUCAGGAAUAUGUAAUGAAGUACAAACUUGUGGAACACCAAUAAAAUGUCCG